AGUGAACGCUGGCGGUAGGCCUAGCACAUGCAAGUCGAACGGCAGCACAGUAAGAGCUUGCUCUUACGGGUGGCGAGUGGCGGACGGGUGAGGAAUACAUCGGAAUCUACUUUUUCGUGGGGGAUAACGUAGGGAAACUUACGCUAAUACCGCAUACGACCUACGGGUGAAAGCAGGGGAUCUUCGGACCUUGCGCGAUUGAAUGAGCCGAUGUCGGAUUAGCUAGUUGGCGGGGUAAAGGCCCACCAAGGCGACGAUCCGUAGCUGGUCUGAGAGGACGAUCAGCCACACUGGAACUGAGACACGGUCCAGACUCCUACGGGAGGCAGCAGUGGGGAAUAUUGGACAAUGGGCGCAAGCCUGAUCCAGCCAUACCGCGUGGGUGAAGAAGGCCUUCGGGUUGUAAAGCCCUUUUGUUGGGAAGGAAAAGCAGCAGGUUAAUACCCCGCUGUUCUGACGGUACCCAAAGAAUAAGCACCGGCUAACUUCGUG
rnacentral:rRNA from 1 species